rnacentral:rRNA from 1 species
GAAGAACGCUAGCUACAGGCUUAACACAUGCAAGUCGAGGGGUAGCAGGGUAGCAAUACCGCUGACGACCGGCGCACGGGUGAGUAACACGUAUCCAACCUUCCCAUAACUCGGGGAUAGCCUUUCGAAAGAAAGAUUAAUACCCGAUAGUACUUAACAAAGGCAUCCUUGAUAAGUUAAAGAUUUAUUGGUUAUGGAUGGGGUUGCGUUCCAUUAGAUAGUUGGUGAGGUAACGGCUCACCAAGUCUUCGAUGGAUAGGGGUUCUGAGAGGAAGGUCCCCCACAUUGGUACUGAGACACGGACAAAACUCCUACGGGAGGCAGCAGUGAGGAAUAUUGGUCAAUGGGCGAGAGCCUGAACCAGCCAAGUAGCGUGAAGGAUGAAGGUCCUAUGGAUUGUAAACUUCUUUUAUAGUAGAAUAAAUGGAUCCACGUGUGGAUUUUUGUAUGUAUACUAUGAAUAAGGAUCGGCUAACUCCGUGCCAGCAGCCGCCGUAA